AGGGUUUGAUUAUGGCUCAGGAUGAACGCUAGCGGCAGGCCUAACACAUGCAAGUCGAGGGGUAACAGAAAAGCUUGCUUUUGCUGACGACCGGCGCACGGGUGCGUAACGCGUAUGCAACCUACCUCAUACUGGAGGAUAGCCCCUGGAAACGGGGAUUAAUACUCCAUAGUAUCACAAUUUCGCAUGUUAUUGUGAUUAAAGUUUUUCGGUAUGAGAUGGGCAUGCGUCCCAUUAGCUUGUUGGUGAGGUAACGGCUCACCAAGGCAACGAUGGGUAGGGGGCCUGAGAGGGUGGUCCCCCACACUGGUACUGAGACACGGACCAGACUCCUACGGGAGGCAGCAGUGAGGAAUAUUGGUCAAUGGAGGAAACUCUGAACCAGCCAUGCCGCGUGAAGGAUGACGGCCCUAUGGGUUGUAAACUUCUUUUAUAGAGGAAGAAACUUGUCUACGUGUAGACAACUGACGGUACUCUACGAAUAAGGAUCGGCUAACUCCGUGCCAGCCGCCGCGGUAAUAC
rnacentral:rRNA from 1 species